rnacentral:hammerhead_ribozyme from 1 species
AUCCAGAUGACGAGUCCCAAAUAGGAAGAAGUGCACAUCAUGGAU